rnacentral:rRNA from 1 species
UACGGAGGGGGCUAGCGUUGUUCGGCCUUACGGGGCGUAAAGCGCGCGUAGGCGGACCUGCAAGUCGGGGGUGAAAGCCCGAGGCUCAACCUCGGAACUGCCUUCGAUACUGCGGGUCUCGAGUCCGGGAGAGGUGAGUGGAAUUCCUAGUGUAGAGGUGAAAUUCGUAGAUAUUAGGAAGAACACCAGUGGCGAAGGCGGCUCACUGGCCCGGUACUGACGCUGAGGCGCGAAAGCGUGGGGAGCAAACAGG